UACGUAGGGACCAAGCGUUGUUCGGAUUUACUGGGCGUAAAGCGCACGCAGGCGGUCUCUUAAGUUUGGAGUGACAGUUGGUGGCUUAACUGCCAAAGUGCUUCGAAAACUGAGAGACUUGAGGGCUUCAGAGGGACACGGAAUUCCGGGUGGAGUGGUGAAAUGCGUAGAGAUCCGGAGGAACACCAAAGGCGAAGGCAGUGUCCUGGGGAGUACCUGACGCUCAGGUGCGAAAGCCAGGGGAGCGAACGGG
rnacentral:rRNA from 1 species